AUAUAGGAGGCCCUUGCACACACACACACACAAACACACACAAAAACCUUGACACACAGAUACAUGCACUGGCACACACACAUAGAUGUCCACACAUACACACUGCCACAUACACACUGUGGCGCAUACAUUCACACUGCCACAUACACACUGACACACAGACUGGCACAUACACUCAGAUACGCACACUGGCACAUACACUCAGAUACCCACACUGGCU